GACGAACGCUGGCGGCGUGCUUAACACAUGCAAGUCGAACGGAAAGGCCCUGCUUUUGUGGGGUUCUCGAGUGGCGAACGGGUGAGUAACACGUGAGUAACCUGCCCUUGACUUUGGGAUAACUUCAGGAAACUGGGGCUAAUACCGGAUAGGAUCUCCUGCUGCAUGGUGGGGUUUGGAAAGUUUCGGCGGUUGGGGAUGGACUCGCGGCUUAUCAGCUUGUUUGUGGGGUAGUGGCUUACCAAGGCUUUGACGGGUAGCCGGCCUGAGAGGGUGACCGGCAAAAUUGGGACUGAGAUACGGCCCAGACUACUACGGGAGGCAGCAGUGGGGAAUAUUGCACAAUGGGCGGAAGCCUGAUGAAGAAAAGCAGCGUGCGGGAUGACGGCCUUCGGGUUGUAAACAGCUUUAGACUGUGACGAAGCGUGAGUGACGGUAAUGGGUAAAGAAGCACCGGCUAACUACGUG
rnacentral:rRNA from 1 species